AAUAGGAAAAUGACAAAUCAAAUUUUUUCUCGUGAUGAUUUUUAGCUUUUUUUCUCCCCAAAAAAAAUCAAAUCCAACUAAAAAUGUUAAAAAUCAGGAGGAAAAAUCUGAUUUAUCAUUUUUCUAUU
rfam:Gossypium arboreum cultivar AKA8401 contig_55188_3, whole genome shotgun sequence.